UGGCUUGGCAGACAUGCCUCAGGCAUGCAAGUCGAACGAUUAAGACUUCCUUCGGGAAGUGCAUAAAGUGGCGCACGGGUGAGUAACACGUAAGUAAUCUACCCUCGAGUGGGGAAUAACGUUCGGAAACGGACGCUAAUACCGCAUAACGCAGCGGCACCGCAAGGUGACAGUUGUUAGAGGAGCAAUCCGCUUGAGGAGGAGCUUGCGGCAGAUUAGCUAGUUGGUAGGGUAAUGGCUUACCAAGGCUACGAUCUGUAUCCGGUCUAAGAGGACGGUCGGACACACUGACACUGAAUAACGGGUCAGACUCCUACGGGAGGCAGCAGUCGGGAAUUUUGGGCAAUGGGCGAAAGCCUGACCCAGCAACGCCGCGUGAAGGAUGAAGUAUUUCGGUAUGUAAACUUCGAAAGAAUAGGAAGAAUAAAUGACGGUACUAUUUAUAAGCUCCGGCUAACUACGUGCCAGCAGCCGCGGUAAUACGUAGGGAGCAAGCGUUGUUCGGAUUUACUGGGCGUAAAGGGCGCGUAGGCGGCGCGGUAAGUCACUUGUGAAAUCUCUGAGCUUAACUCAGAACGGCCAAGUGAUACUGCAGUGCUAGAGUGCAGAAAGGGCAAUCGGAAUUCUUGGUGUAGCGGUGAAAUGCGUAGAUAUCAAGAGGAACACCUGAGGCGAAGGCGGGUUGCUAGGCUGACACUGACGCUGAGGCGCGAAAGCCAGGGGAGCAAACGGGAUUAGAUACCCCGGUAGUCCUGGCCCUAAACGAUGAAUACUUGGUGUCUGGAGUUUCAAUACUCCGGGUGCCGUCGCUAACGUUUUAAGUAUUCCGCCUGGGG
rnacentral:rRNA from 1 species